UGGGGAAUAUUGGGCAAUGGACGCAAGUCUGACCCAGCGACGCCGCGUGAAGGAAGAAGGCCUUCGGGUUGUAAACUUUAGUUAUCAGGGAAGAAACAAAUGACGGUACCUGAAGAGAAAGCCACGGCUAACUACGUGCCAGCAGCCGCGGUAAUACGUAGGUGGCGAGCGUUAUCCGGAAUUACUGGGCGUAAAGGGUGUGUAGGCGGGACUGCAAGUCAGAUGUGAAAAUUACGGGCUUAACCUGUAAACUGCAUUUGAAACUGUGGUUCUUGAGAGCCGGAGGGGUAAAUGGAAUUCCCA
rnacentral:rRNA from 1 species